rnacentral:rRNA from 1 species
AUCGAACGCUGGCGGCAUGCCUUACACAUGCAAGUCGAACGGUAACAGGUCUUCGGAUUCUGACGAGUUGCGAACGGGUGAGUAAUACAUCGGAACGUGCCUAGUCGUGGGGGAUAACUACUCGAAAGAGUGGCUAAUACCGCAUGAGAUCUACGGAUGCAAGCAGGGGAUCGCAAGACCUUGUGCUACUAGAGCGGCCGAUGGCCGAUUAGGUAGUUGGCGGGAUAAAAGCUUACCAAGCCGACGAUCUGUAGCUGGUCUGAGAGGACGAUCGGCCACACUGGGACAGAGAAACGGACCAGACUCCUGCGGGAGGGAGCAGUGGGGAAGUUUGGGCAAUGGGCGCAAGCCUGAUCCAGCAAUGCCGCGUGCAGGAUGAAGGCCUUAGGGUUGUAAACUGCUUUUGUACGGAACGAAAAGCCCCGGGUUAAUACCCUGGGGUCAUGACGGUACCGUAAGAAUAAGCACCGGCUAACUACGUGCCAGCCGCCGCCGUAA